GAUGAACGCUAGCGGCAGGCCUAAUAUAUGCAAGUCGGACGGGAUCGGGGAGCUUGCUCCCCGUGAGAGUGGCGCACGGGUGCGUAACACGUAUGUAACCUACCUUUAUCAGGGGGAUAGCCUCUCGAAAGAGAGAUUAACACCGCAUAACAUCACAUGAUAGCAUUAUCGAGUGAUCAAAUAUUCAUAGGAUAAAGAUGGGCAUGCGGGACAUUAGCGAGUUGGCGGGGUAACGGCCCACCAAGGCGACGAUGUCUAGGGGAUCUGAGAGGAUGACCCCCCACACUGGUACUGAGACACGGACCAGACUCCUACGGGAGGCAGCAGUAAGGAAUAUUGGUCAAUGGACGCAAGUCCGAACCAGCCAUGCCGCGUGCAGGAGGACGGCCCUACGGGUUGUAAACUGCUUUUGUACCGGAAUAAACCCUUUUACGUGUAAGAGGCUGAAUGUACGGUAAGAAUAAGGAUCGGCUAACUCCGUGCCAGCAGCCGCCGCGGUAA
rnacentral:rRNA from 1 species